UGUGACGCAAGUGGCCGAAUAUGUUUGUGACGUUCCAUGGAACCCACCGUAUUGUUUAAAACUAGAUUCUGAUUGGCUUGCAGGUCAUUCUACAGUGUAAAUUAUAAACGAAAACGUGCUUUCAUAUCAGUGUUACAGAUUCACAAUACUGAGCGUGUCUCAACCUGUACCGCGCUUUUAUCUGCCUAAAGGUAUCUUCACGCACGACUGGAUAGGCCUUUUGGAUACGCUUGUCCAAGGCCCAAGACAUAAAGUCGCCUGAAAGCUGUGUAGCAAUCAUUCCAGCUCCUGACCCAUAGGAUGGUAAUCACAUACAUGAUUGGCUUAAUCUAGAAUCAUGGAUACCUUUCAUACCUUCUCAUCACAAGUUGGAACUAGUGGUCAACAUUGGGACAAUGCAGCCAUAAAUAACAUGGACCAAUAUUUUCAUGGAGGUAAGCAC